rnacentral:lncRNA from 1 species
GACUAAAGAUGGAGAUGCAGGAUGAGGAUGCACUUGGCCAGGCUGAGUUCUGGCAGAUCACCUUAGCCUUCGUCGACAGUCUCACACUCAAGUGUGCAGUCGAGCUCGGCAUACCCCAGAUAAUCCAUGCCAAAGGUCAACCCCUCACCCUCUCAGAGAUCAUCACCUCACUGCAAGCUCCCUCCCCCGACUCAAGUUGUCUCUCACGAGUCAUGCGCUUCUUGGUGAAGAAGCAGGUGUUUAGUGAAGAGGUGAAGGUGGGUGAGGCCUACUACAGGCUCACUCGUGCCUCCAAAUUGCUGGUGAGGCCGGGGGCAUCGGGCCUUGCUCCCAUGCUCACCAUGCUGAACCACCCUAUUUUCCUUGCACCAUGGCACUGCUUUAGCCGUUGUGUGGUGGAACGGGUUGAUGCCUUUGAAAAGGCUCAUGGUAGCAAGUUAUGGAUGUAUACAGCAAAUAAUACUGGUGCCAAUGACAUAUUCAAUGAGGCCAUGGCUAGCGACACUGUGGUAGUUCUUGAAGCCUUGCUCUCUGAGUAUAAAUCAGGGUUUGCAGGCUUGACAUCAUUGGUUGACGUAGCUGGUGGUACAGGGACCGCGGUGAGUGCGAUAGUGAAGGCGCACCCGCAUAUCUCAAGGAUCAAUUUCGACCUCCCCCAAGUUGUGUCGAGUGCACCAGAGCAUCCGGGUGUUGUUCAUGUCAGCGGUGACAUGUUCAUCUCUAUCCCACAUGCCGAUGCAGUUUUCAUGAAGGUAUUGGCCCAUUGUUCAUCUCUAUCCCUCGUGCCGAUGCAGUUUUCAUGAAGGUAUUGGCCCAUUGCAUACUUUGUCUUGGACCUUGGCCGAGGUGAGUUAUUCGGCGGGGAGUAACCCGGCUAAGUUCAUGUCAUAUUGAAAAAGAAGAGGAUAAUAAAAUGGAAUAAGGUAUAUAUAUAAUAAGAUACUUAUCUUUAACACAAAUAUUUAAAUUGCUUAUUGGGAAAAAGUGCACAGGGGACUUAUUUUUUAUCUUUUAAAAAAAUUAGAAACAUUUAUUGUUCAAAAUAAAAAUAAAUUUUUUCCUGCCAGGCGGGAUUAAAACCUUAGACAUAAAAUCGGUAAGCCGAGGCCGAGUAACUUGGCGGGGUCCGAGUCUCCUCUGCCGAGUCCUAAAAUAGUGAUUUCUCCUUUAUUUGUCGUAGUUUUCUGACUAACUAGACAGUGAAGAAGAAAUUUUGUAUCCUCAUCUUUCUCUAUCUCUUUCCUCUCAUUGAUUGCCAAAAACAUUUGGUAUGUAAUGCUCCCUCCAUUCCAUUCUCCUCUCUCUCCCCUUCUGCACUUGAGUAAAUAGUUCAUUUCAAAUUGGUGCAGUGGAUUUUGCACGAUUGGGACGAAGACAAUUGUGUGAAAUCUUGAAGCAGUGCAAGAAAGCAAUCGCAAAGAAAAGUGGGAAGUUGAUCAUCGUCGACGUGGUCUUGCGUCCUGAGGAUGAUACAAGUGCUUUUUCAGACUCAAGGUUGGCAUAUGACCUCGUCAUAAUUGCAUUUCUAUUAGGAGGCAAACAAAGGACUGAAAAAGAAUGGAGGGCUCUAUUGAGCCAAGGAGGUUUCAGCAAAUGCAAUAUCAUAUCUCUUCCAACACUGCAGUCCAUUAUUGAAGCAUUUUCUGAUGACUAGUACUCUCUGUGUUACUCUGUAGCCUUCAUGUAACCAUGAUUCUGAUUCUGGUUCUGGCUUGUCUCUUCUUUUGUUAAACUACUAUAGAAACAAAAGUUUGUUAUGUAAAAUAAUUUCACCACUUGCUUGAUUUGGGAAACAGUCACCAACUUUGUUUUGGUGAUGUGAAAUUCCCAACUUUGUUUGGUGAUGUAAAAUUCCAUCUAGGAAGUCUUAUAAUAAGACCAUUGUCUACCCAAUUUAUUAUGGGAACCAAUGCUGUAGAACUCGGCUCAGGCAGCCGACUCGCCCCUGGCCUAGCCAAGUUACAAUGGUAAGUCACUAGGCCUCACCCAAGUUAAGCUCGAGUCCACCAUGGGCUCCAGAAAAUCAAAUAUUUUUGGGGAAAAACCCAAUAAAAUCAUAAAAUCACUGAUUAAUUUAUAUUAUGAAGGAGAAUUGACAUAAAAAAUAGAAACAAUUUCGGCUUGCAAGACGGCCAUAUUUUCUUACCCUUCGUUUACUUAUUGAUCUUGCACAAGUUCCCUUCUAUGGCUCUCGAACUGAUGCAUCUAAAGGAGCAAUAUGACUAAAUAAGCUACUUCGUUAAACAAGUUACUUAGUGAACUCAGACUUGUGUAAGAAGAUAAUGCCACUUCAUUGUGAUAAUUAGAGUAUAUUGUUUUACAAAGGAAUCUAGUCUUCUAUGAUAGUACUAAGUAUAUUCAUGUUCAGUAUCACUUUUUUCGUGAUGUGAUAGAAGACAGAAGAAUUUUAUUUAAAAAAUUCAUACUUAUAACAAUCAAUCAGAUAUGUUGACUAACCCCAUUGGGAAUGGAACUUCAUUUGAUGCAGAACUUCCUUGGGGCUUAUAGUUACUUAAUGAUUGGUAACUGAUGGACAACAAUUUUGGAGCAGACUUGUCCAAAUGCAAACAUGUUUUCAAGUUGGAGAAUAUUAGCAUGAAUCCGACUUUCUUAUCUUUAAAGAACUUGAGAUAUUUCAUGCACACCUAAUUUCCCUAUUUGCAUGGCGAUCCAAUUUUAUAGGUUGGGAAUCCUUUUGGGUUUGGAAAAAUCAUGUAAAUCUAUGGGACAUAAAUAGACUUUCCUACUCCUUUAAAAAGGGGAAUAGGAAACACUCACGUGGGUGCUUACUUGGGCUUUCUUGUUUAUAAAAUAUAUUUUGUAGAGGGAAAAAGUGCAAGAGAUAUAGAUUUAUAAAAUAUAUUUUGUAGAGAGACAAAGUGCAAGAGAGAUAGAGGGUGAGAUUUUGUGUCAUUUGGGUGGGUCUUCUAGUUUUGGGCGGGUCUUCUAGAGAGAAAAAAAAUGUAUUUUAAGAUUUGUGAGAUAAAGCUUGUAAAUCUUUAUAUCCUCCACACUUACAUGGUGUUUUUUUAUUAUUGGAAGAAACUUUUGCAAGAUGUAGACAACUUGCUAAACUACGAAAAUCCUUGUGUCGUGGUUCUUUUAAUUUCGUUUGCUAUUUUUUUUUUCCUUCAUUUUUUCCAAACCAUAGUUUUUAUCCUCUACAAAUAUCUUCUGGGGUUGAGUUUUAACAUGAUAUUGUAGUUUUUGUGUUUUAGCCAAAAUUUCUCUAAUAAUUAUGGGGACUUUAAUAUGUAUAUUUAAUUAUUUAAUAUUAUGGAAUAAAUUUUUAUUUAGACAGGUAAAUUCAAAUUGUACAUUAUUCAAAGAUUUUAAAAUUUUUGUUUAUAAUAAUGUGUUGGAUAUAAUGAUAUCCAAAAUCACCCACAUAUAAAAUCCCAUAUUAUGUGGGAUUGAGAUUGAUAUUGAUAAGUUUCCUAAAAGAAAUAGAAAUCUAAAAGGAUUAGGACUCUUUGGUAUAUCUCUUAGUUUUGAAAUAUAUGUAACAUUUAUAGGAAAUUUCCUAUUUAGUACGAAUUCCUAAUCUUAUAUAUAUAGGAUGAAAGUGCAGAGAAUUUGUAUGCCCUAUUUGGGUUACUAUAUGGGAAAGGUGGCUUCUUCUAAAGAGAGAGACAGGGCCUCCUCUACAUAAGUGGCAAGGCCUCAUUUAUAGAGAAGUGAGUUUCCUAUGGAGAGAAACACCACAAUGAGCCUCAUGUAGAUUGAGAUGCUGGUUUCUUGUAGAGAAGUGAUUCCUAUGAAGAUUUUGGGUGGUUUCUCCUUUUAGUAAGAGAAAGUCUCGAUUGCACUCAAGGGUCUCUUCUUGGACAACGGUUUAGCUGUGGAAUAGAUAUGGGUCUCUUCCUGGACAAUGGUUUAGCUCUAGAAGAUGAGUAUCUUCCUAGACAAUGGUUUAGUUGUAGAAUAAAUAUGAGAGAUGGACGGGUCGUGCCAAUCUGGAGAGCGAGUCUAAAAGGGUUUGCUCAACUGGGUUUUGUCAAGGGUUAGAGAGGUAACUCUAUGUCCCAAAAUCUAUGGCGUAAUUUUCAUUGGUAUAAUGGAUUUUAGGUUGUCGUUUCGUGGAUGUAGCCCUCUUGUGCUGAACCACAUAAAUCUUUGUGUUCUUGUGGUGUGUGAUUCAUGUUUUAUUUAUCGUAUUGUGGCUCGCAUAUCUUUGUUUCUAGCUUGUAUAUCGUUCCGUGGAUGUAGCCCUCUUGGGGUAAACCACACAAAUCUUUGUUUCUAGCUGAAUAAAUACACAAUCUUAGUGGGAUCCAACUUUGGGGUUUUUGUUUUCGCAUCUACGAGGGUUAUUAAAUCUAACAAGUGGUAUCCGAGUGCAUGGUUCAGUACGAGGCUAAUGUUUGUGCAUUCGGUUGAAGCAAAACACAAGGCAAAAUAUGCGAGUGUUUUAUUUGAGGUGGAGAAAUAUAAUGACAAGCACAAUUUUUCAGCAAUAAUGAUGAAGGAAUUUAUAUGGAAAACGAUGAAGAAUCCGUAAAGCAAUACAAUUGAUGUUGGCAUGGUGAGCAAGUGAUUUUGAUAUCAAGGUGGAAAUUGUUGGAUAUAGUGAUAUUCAAAAUCACCCACAUAAGGAAAUCCAAUAAUAUGAGGGAUUGAGAUUGUUAUUGAUAAGUUUCCUAAAAGAAAUAGAAAUCCAAAAGGAUUAGGACUCUUGAGUACAUCUUUUUGUUUUGAUAUAUAUUUAUAUAACACCUAUAGGAAGUUUCCUAUGUAGUGUGGACUCCUAACCUUAUAUGUAUAGGAUGUAAGAGCAGAGCAUUUGUGUGCAUAAUUUGAGUCACCAUAUGAGAAAGGUGGCUUCCUCUAAAGAGAGAGGUUGGGCCUCCUCUGUUCCAGAGUUCUCCUCUAGAGACAAGGCGUCCCCUUAGAGAGAAGAGAGCUUCAUACGAAGAUAAACUCUAUAGAUGUGCCUUAUAUAGAUUGAGUGGCUAAUUUCUUGUAGAAAUGCAAUUCCCAUAAAGAUUUUGGGAGGUUUCUCCUUUUAGUGAGAGAAAGUCUCGGUUGCUCUCAAGGGUGUUCUUUUAGACAGUGGUUUAGCUAUAAAAUAAAGAUGGCCCUCUUCCUAGAUAUCAGUUUAGCUGUGGAAUAGAGAUGAGAGAUCGACGGGUCGUGCCGAUUAGGAGAGAUAGUCUAAAAGGGUUUGCUUGACUGUGCUUUGUCGUGGGUUAGAAAAGUAACUCUAUGUCCUAAAAUCUAUGAUGUAACGUUAAUUGGUAUUGUGGAUUUCAAUUUUUUGUGCCCAUGGAUGUAGCUCUUUUGGGGCGAACUAUGUAAAUCUUUGUGUUCUUGUGGUGUGUAUAUUUCAUGUUUUAUUUCUCGUAUUAUGGCUCGUGCACUCUCCUAAUUUGUUUCUAGCUGGAUUAGUACACGAUCUUGGUAGGAUUCAACUUUUGGGAUUUUGUUUCCGCAUCUAAAAGGUUUUUUAAAUUCUAACUAAUGGUAUCAGAGUGCAUGGUUCAAUACAAGGCUAAUGUUUGUACAUUCGUUGAAGAAAAUUACAUAACAAAGUAUGCAAGUGUUUUAUUUGAAGUGGAGAAAUAUGAUGGCAAGCACUAUUUUUCAGCAAGAAUGAUAAAAUAAUUUAUUUGGCAAAAGAUGAUGAAUUCAUAAAGCUAUCACAUGGAUGUUGGCAUGGUGAGCUGGUGGUUUUGAUAUCAAGGUGGAGAUUGUGGGAAAUAGUGAUAUCCAAAAUCACCUACAUAUGAAAAUCUCAUGUUAUGUGGGAUUGGGAUUGAGAUUGAUAUUGAUAAGUUUUCUAAAGAAAAUAGAAAUCCAAAAAGAUUAGGACUCUUGAAUAUAUCUCUUGAUUUUGAGAUAUAUGUAACAUCUAUUAGAGAUUUCCUAUUUAAUAUAGAUUCCUAUUCUUAUAUAUAUGGGAUGAAAGACCAAAUAAUUUGUGUGCCAUAUUUGGGUCACCAUAUGGGAAAUGUGGCUUCCUCUAGAGAGAGAGGCAAUGCCACAUCAGUGGCAAUGCCUCUCUUAGAGAGAAGAGAACUUCAUAUAGAGAGAAACACCACGAUGUGCCUCAUGUGGAUUGAGAAGCUGAUUUAUUCUAGAGAAGUGAUUCUCAUAAAGAUUUUAGGUGGUUUCCCCUUUUAGUAAAAGAAAGUUUUUAUUGCUCUCAAGGGUCUCUUCUUGGACAGCUGUUUAGCUGUGGAAUAUAGAUGGGUCUCUUCCUGGAGAGCGGUUUAACUGUGGAAGAUGGUUAUCUUCCUGGAUAUUGGUUUAGCUAUAGAAUAGAUAUGAGAGAUCGAUGAGUCGUGCCGAUCGGGAAAUGAGGUCUAAAAGGGUUUGUUCGACUGGGUUUUGUCGAGGGUUAGAGAGGUAAAUCUAUGAUAUUAUUUUCAUUGGUAUAGUGGAUUUCAGUUUGCCGUUACGUGGAUGUAGUCCUCUUGGGGUACCACAAAUCUUUAUGCUCUUGUGAUGUGUGUCUUUAAUGUUUUAUUUAUAGUAUUAUGGCGCGUGCUCUCUCCUAUUUUGUCUCUAGCUGGAUAAGUACACGAUCUUGAUGGGGUCAAUCUUUGGGAUUCUUGUUUCCGCAUGUUAGAGGGUUCUUAAAUCCUAACAUACUGGUCAUAAGAAUUUCUAAUGCAUUUCAAAAUUAAAAUAUCUAAAGAUACUUAUCAACUUAAUAGCAUUAUCAAUUCCUUGCAAAUGGAAGAUGUGGCUUAUUUUACAUUAAGAUUACAUACAUUCUUGUUAUUGGGAAACCUUUUAUGGUGAUAAUAAUGAUUAAUGAAAAGUUCUAAAAUAGGGUGCGGUUUGUAUAGAGCCUAGGCUUUAAACAAUCAAAUUAGAGCCUACCUUCAAAUAGUGGCAAGAAAUGUGAUUUCGAUAUUAGAAAUCUUUGUGAUAGCCUUAAAAUAUAUUUUCAUAUUUAUUUAUAAAUAUUAAAGCUUUAAAAAUAGGGUAGAUCAACCGAUCUAAAAAAACUUGAAAAUCUUGAAAAUUGACGAUCCAAAAAUACAUUACAAAAUACAUUAUUUUCAGAACUUAAAAUUCAUUUUUUUCUGAUGUCCAUACAUCUUGAUGUAAAUAUGAUCAACUUGAAGGUAUUUGGGAAUCAAAACAACCUCUUCUAGUGAAAUUUGUGAGGUAAGCUCAAAUUUGAAUGUUUAGAGCCUCAGCUCUAUAUAAACUUUUCCCUUUAAAAUAUCAAGAGAAAUUUUUUUUUUACUUGGAGGGUCACAUUUGAAUAAGACCAGCAGCUUAGUAUUAAAAUCCCAUCCCAUUCAAAAAUUGCCUUCUAUCUCAUGGAAAUUUUCCAAUUAUUAGUCAUUAUGAUAAGCGCAAGUGGGGCUUUCUAAAUGAGGGGAGUGCUAAGCAAGUGGGGUUAUGUAAUAAGGAAAUUCUCGUCGAUCGAGAAUAGCUUGGGGCCUUGGCAGCAGUAUUGACGGGCCAUGGUGAAUGUUAGGUUUGGUGAUAGCUAAAUCACCAUACUCAUAUUUUAUUCUAGAAAAUUAAAUAUAUUAUGGUAAAUAGAAAAUAGAUUUUUUGGGAAGCUAGACAGUGAGAUCUUUAUAAGAGAGAGUGAAUGAAGACAUAAUACUCAUUUUUUGAGGGUCAUCCCUUUGGGGGUUAUGGGAAUGGAUCUCCAAUAUGGGGAUGGGUCUCCAAGAGAGAGAGAUAUAACCUCCGAGAGAGAGGAGGUAUUCCUAUGAGUUUUGAAUUUGUUAACUUCCACCUCUAGAAAGAGAAAAUCUCUAUAUUGCUCUUGAUGUUAUCUUUCCGGUAGCGGCAUUGCCGUGCGAAAGACGUUGAUCAACGGUAUUGCUUGGUCGGGAGAGCGAGUUUAGAAAAGAAGAUCGGUGAUGGUUUUUUACCGAUGUUUAGAUAUAUAUAUAUAUUAUAACUCCAAAUUGUAAUCUUCAUUGUGAUAAUGGAUUUCUUGCUGAUGCCGUCGUCGUGGCCCAACGGGAUGAACCACGUAAAUAGUGUGUUGUUGUGACGUGCUUUUUAUGUUUGUUUUUUUUCUCGUAUUCGAUUUAUAGUUGUAUUCAUCUAUUUCGUAUUUAGUUAAUUAAGUACAUGAUCUUGGGUAGGAUCCCGGUAUUUAGGAUUCCCGGUUCCGCAAGCUAAGGGUUCUCGAGUGUCCUAUCAUUGAUAUCAGAGAAUAAGGCGUGUAUGGGGAUAAGGCUUGCAUUAAGAAAAUGAUGAAUAGUGGAGUUUGAUGGAUACAUGGCUUGAAGUGGAAAAAUAUGAAGGCAAAGUGUUUGUGAAAAUUCUACAAUGGAGGCAAGCAUGAAGAAAUCAAGAAAUCUUUUCAAUGAAGGUUGUCAAAACAAUUAUGAUGAUUUUGCUAUCAAGGUAGAGAUUGUUGGGUUUGGUGAUAGCGAAAUCACCAUACCCCUUUUUUCUUUCAAAAAAUUAAGGGUGUUAUGGUAAAUAGAAAAUAGACUUUCUUGGGAAGAAAAAAAGCGAGAUCUAUAUAAGAGAGUGAAUGAAGACAUAAUAGCCAUCCUUUGAAGGUCACCCCUUCGGAGGUUUUGGGAAUAGAUAUCCAAUAUGGAGAUGGGUCUCCAAGAAAGAGAGAUAUGGCCUCCGAGAGAGAUAUGGUUUUCACAUGAGUUUUGAGUAUGUUAACUUCCACUUCUAGAAAGAGAAAAUCUCUAUAUUGCUCUCGAGGUUAUCUUUCCGGUAGCAGCAUUGCGGUGGGAAAGACGUUGAUCAGCGGUGUUGCUCGGUCGGAAGAGUGGGUUUAGAGAUCAUUGAUGGUUUUUUACCGAUGUUUAGAGAAGGGUAUUAUCUCUUGUAACUCAAAAUUGUAAUCUUCAUUGUGCUAGUGGAUUUCUAGUUGUCGAGGCUGUGGAUGUAGUCCAACGGGGUGAACCACGUAAAUCUUGUAUUGUUGUGGUGUGCUUUUUAUGUGUACUUUAUUUCUCGUACUCGAUAUAUAGUUGUAUUCAUCUACUUCGCAUUUAGUCAAUCAUGUACACGAUCUUUGGUGGGAUUCCAGUGUUUGAGAUUCCGCGUUCCGCAAGCUAAGGGGUUCUCAAGGUCUCUACAUUGAGGUCCCUGACUCCAUUCUCACCGAAGGGUAAGGGCCCAAAUCCCCACUGACUUACCAUUUUUUAAUAAGGGGCUGGGGUCGUGCUGGUAACACCCAACAAUCUAAUUAUCACGUUGUGGUUUCCAUUCCUACAACUAACACCACCCCACUAAUACCUUAAAAAAAAGCUUACUCUUAAUCUAGUUGAAGAAAUGGGCAGGGGACUGUCUUCCCCAUUAAAUUACCCCAAAAAAAAAUUUCUGGUGAAUCUCGUGAUCCGGAACUCUAACGCCAUAGUGGCAUUUUUUAUCUUAUAAUAUCGAUUUUAGAGUCAACUAUCAAGUUUUUCAUAAUUCUAAAUACUCGUGAAUCUCGUGAUCCACAAAACUAUGGUAAUAGUGAACAAUCAAGUUUUUUAUUUGUUUGGAGCAUUGACACAGGUUUCAUGUAAAUUCUACAGUAGUCUUAUUGAACUAAUAACUGGUUUAGUACCAGAACCCCAACCUAACAUCUAUCAUAUGGUUAGUCUACAUUUGAUUAUGGGCUUUAGAAGGAUUUUUUUUCUCUUCUAAUUUUUUUAAAUGGCUUUAUUAUCAGUAGAUGAACUGUGUUAAAAAAAAAAAAUGAUUUUGAGUUUGUAAAGGCUAAGAUCUUAAAACUCACCGAAUGAAUGGUCUACAUUCGUUGUUGGAGGGGAUUCAUUUUGACUACAUCUAAGGUUCAAAUUGAACUUUUUUUUUUUGGUAGUUGAUUAUUGAGAUGAAGAGUGCGUGUAUGAAACAUUUUAGGGCAUACAAAUACAACAAACUUGGUUUUCUAAAAGUGCGGUUGCAUUAUACUGUAUCAAAAGUAAAUGGGCGGAUUUUAUGCUUAUCGUUUUCAAAAUUUCCCCAAUAUUUCAAUAAAAAGAAAUCCAUAAACAAAUAUGACGACUGCGUCUUAUGAAUACUUCAAUGUGCACAAGGAGCAGGCCUCCAACUUGCAAUAUGGCCCACACCCGAACCCUUAUAAAUUCAAAAUGGAAGAGGGCUCAGAAGAUCAAGAAGACUGGAGGGAUGGAGAUGCCAGGUGAGGAUGAUGUUCAGGGCCAGGCUGAGCUUUGGCAGCUCACCUUAGCUUUCGCGGACACUCUCACACUUAAGUGUGCAGUUGAGCUCGGCAUAGCCCAUAUGAUCCCUUCCAAAGCCCGACAACUCAUCCUCUCUAAGAUCAUCACCUCACUGCAGGCUCCUUCACCAGACAUCCAGUGCCUCUCGCGAGUCAUGCGAUUCUUGGUCAAGAAACGUGUGUUCAGCGUCAAGGUGAGGCAGGGCGAGGCCUACUAUGGCCUCACUCCCCUGUAUAUUAAAAAAUUUCAGAAUAUUUUUAAAUAUACCAAAAACUAAAAAUAUUUCCGUUGAUUUCUCAAGAAGAUAAUAUAUAUUAGUAGUUAUAAAUGGAACAAUUAUUUGAAAGGCC